AUGCCACGGUCAGUGCAGGUGCCAAAGUGGAUCCCACCAAUGGAAGGUUUUGUCAAAAUUAAUGUAGAUGGAGGAAUAGCCAAGAACAGUUGCAAGGGUGCGGCGGCCGCUGUGUGCCGAGACGCCCAAGGAGUUUACCUUGGCUCGUCCGCACGCAUCAUUGACAGUUGUGAUGACCCUGGAAUGCUUGAAGCAAUGGCAUGUUUGGAGGCCCUAUCCCUUGCAGCAGAUCUGAACCUCCGAAGGCUUAUUAUUGCUUGCGACGCGGAAGCGGUAGUUAAACAGAUUAAUGGAAGAAGUAAAGCUAUCUCCAACCCGAUUCUACAUGAGAUCAAUAUCCGUUGUCAGGAGUUCGAAGAGGUCUGGAUUAUCCAUGAAUGCAGAAUGUCUAAUAUGGAGGCUCACAAUUUUGUGAAAAGCGUUGUAUCAUUAGUUCAUGGUCGAUAUAAUUGGCUACUGCAGCCGAAUGACACUACAAUUGUACCAUAUAUUAUCAUGCAAUAA
rnacentral:rRNA from 1 species